rnacentral:rRNA from 1 species
UGAAUACGAGAUGCUACGGCGUCGAAGCAGUCUAUGUCAUACUUCCAAGAAAAGCUUGCACUGUCAUAAACAAAUAAUGCCUGUACCAUAACCGACACAGGUGGGUAGGUAGAGUAUACUAAGGGGCGCGAGAUAACUCUCUCUAAGGAACUCGGCAAAAUGACUCCGUAACUUCGGGAGAAGGAGUGCCUUAUUUAUAAGGUUGCAAUAACAAGAUCCAAGCAACUGUUUACCAAAAACACAGGUCUCCGCUAAGUCGUAAGACGAUGUAUGGGGGCUGACGCCUGCCCAGUGCCAGAAGGUUGAAGAAGUUGGUUAGCAUCCGCGAAGCUGAUAACUGAAGCCCUGGUGAACGGCGGCCGUAACUAUAACGGUCCUAAGGUAGCGAAAUUCCUUGUCGGGUAAGUUCCGACCCGCACGAAAGGCGUAAUGAUUUGGAUACUGUCUCGGAGAGGGGCUCGGUGAAAUAGACUUGUCUGUGAAGAUGCGGACUACCUGCACCAGGACAGAAAGACCCUAUGAAGCUUUACUGUAACCUGAAAUUGAAAUUGGACUUUACUUGCGCAGUAUAGGUGGGAGGCGUUGAGAAUAUUCUUGCGGGAUUAUUGGAGCCAUCAGUGAGAUACCACUCUUGUAAUGUUAGAUUUCUAACUUUGUAUCAUUAUCUGGUCAAAGAACAGUUUCAGGCGGGCAGUUUGACUGGGGCGGUCGCCUCCUAAACGGUAACGGAGGCGCACAAAGGUUUCCUCUGAACGGGUAGAAAUCGUAUCUAGAGUGUAAAGGCAUAAGGAAGCUUGACUGUGAGACCUACAAGUCGAGCAGGGACGAAAGUCGGUCUUAGUGAUCUGACGGUGCUGAGUGGAAAGGCCGUCACUCAACGGAUAAAAGUUACUCUAAGGAUAACAGGCUGAUCUCCCCCAAGAGUUCACAUCGACGGGGAGGUUUGGCACCUCGAUGUCGGCUCAUCGCAUCCUGGGGCGGUAGUACGUCCCAAGGGUUGGGCUGUUCGCCCAUGAAAGCGGUACGCGAGCUGGGUUCAGAACGUCGUGAGACAGUUCGGUCCAUAUCCGGUGUAGGCGUUAGAAUAUUGAGAGGAGCCUUCUUUAGUACGAGAGGACCGAGAAGGACAUACCUCUGGUGUACCAGUUAUCGUGCCAACGGUAAACGCUGGGUAGCUAUGUGUGGAGUGGAUAACCGCUGAAGGCAUCUAAGUGGGAAGCCCACCUCAAGAUAAGUAUUCUCAUC